rnacentral:rRNA from 1 species
CAAGUGACGGUACCUAUAGAAGAAGCACCGGCCAACUACGUGCCAGCAGCCGCGGUAAUACGUAGGGUGCGAGCGUUGUCCGGAAUUACUGGGCGUAAAGAGCUCGUAGGUGGUUUGUCGCGUUGUUCGUGAAAACUCACAGCUUAACUGUGGGCGUGCGGGCGAUACGGGCAGACUAGAGUACUGCAGGGGAGACUGGAAUUCCUGGUGUAGCGGUGGAAUGCGCAGAUAUCAGGAGGAACACCGGUGGCGAAGGCGGGUCUCUGGGCAGUAACUGACGCUGAGGAGCGAAAGCGUGGGGAGCGAACAGGAUUAGAUACCCUGGUAGUCCACGCCGUAAACGGUGGGUACUAGGUGUGGGUUCCUUCCUUGGGAUCCG